rnacentral:rRNA from 1 species
AUUGAACGCUGGCGGCAUGCCUUACACAUGCAAGUCGAACGGUAACAGGUCUUCGGAUGCUGACGAGUGGCGAACGGGUGAGUAAUACAUCGGAACGUGCCUAGUAGUGGGGGAUAACUACUCGAAAGAGUAGCUAAUACCGCAUGAGAUCUACGGAUGAAAGCAGGGGAUCGCAAGACCUUGUGCUACUAGAGCGGCUG